AACCUAUGCAGGGGAAUAACCUCGGGAAACUGAGUAUAAUGCCCCAUAGUCCACUACGCCUGGAACGGUGAGUGGAUCAAAGCUCAGGCGGCAUAGGAUGGGCCUGCGGCGUAUCAGGUUGUAGGGGGUGUAAAGUACCCUCUAGCCAUCUACGCGUACGGGUGUUGGGAGACAUAGCCCGGAGAUGGAUUCUGAGACACGAAUCCAGACCCUACGGGGUGCAGCAGGCGCGAAAACUUGACAAUGCGAGCAAUCGUGAUCAGGGAACUCCAAGUGGCUGGGGUAAGACCCAGUCUUUUCAUAACUCUUCAAAGGUUGUAGAAUAAGGGGUGGGUAAGGACGGUGCCAGCCGCCGCGGUAAUACCGGCGCCUCAAGUGGUAGUCGCUUUUAUUGGGCCUAAAACGUCCGUAGCCGGUUUGGUACAUUCGUGGGUAAAUCAACUCGCUCAACGAGUUGAAUUCUGCGAGGACGGCCAGACUUGGGACCGGGAGAGGUGUGGGGUACUCUCAGGGUAGGGGUAAAAUCCUGUCAUCCUGAGAGGACCACCUGUUGCGAAGGCGCCACACU
rnacentral:rRNA from 1 species